rnacentral:tRNA from 1 species
GCGGAUGUGGCGGAACUGGCAGACGCCUUGGCUUCAGGAGCCAAGGGGCGCAAGCCCGUGAGAGUUCAAUUCUCUCCAUCCGCACAA